rnacentral:misc_RNA from 1 species
GAGAUGGUGGAUCUACUUUACCAGAACCAGAUCCACCUGAGUUGAGGAAAUACACUUAUGAGGAACUAUCAGAGGCAACACAUCAUUUCUCCAACAAAUAUCGGCUUGGCUCAGGUGGUUUUGGUGAUGUAUUCAGAGGAUCAGUAGAUGGUGAAGUGGUUGCUAUCAAGAAACUUAAAUACAUAAACGAUGAAGGGCCACAAAAUAAAUUAGAUGAGAUUGAGUACCUUAAAAGAGUGAGUCACCCAAAUCUUGUUAAACUGAUUGGUUACUGCUAUGAAGGCGCCAAUAAAUUGCUUGUCUUAGAGUUUGUUCCCAAUAAGACCUUGAGACAUCAUUUAGAUGGAAAAGAGGAUGUUUUAAAGUGGUCAAUAAGAAUGAAAAUCGCCACAAAAUCUGCAUAUGCAUUGCAAUAUUUACAUGAAAAAUGUAAAAUUAUACACCAAGAUAUCAAGACGGAUAAUAUACUGCUUGACUAUGAAUUUGAGCCAAAGGUUGCAGAUUUUUCGCUUGCCAAGUUUUUGCCA